rnacentral:rRNA from 1 species
GAUGAACGCUGGCGGCGUGCUUAACACAUGCAAGUCGAACGGACUUUACAUGAAGCCUAGCGAAUGUAAAGUUAGUGGCGGACGGGUGAGUAACGCGUGAAUAACCUGCCUUAUACUGGGGGACAACAGUUGGAAACGACUGCUAAUACCGCAUAAGCGCACGGAGCUGCAUGGCUCAGUGUGAAAAACUCCGGUGGUAUAAGAUGGAUUCGCGUCUGAUUAGCUAGUUGGUGAGGUAACGGCCCACCAAGGCGACGAUCAGUAGCCGGCCUGAGAGGGUGAACGGCCACAUUGGGACUGAGACACGGCCCAAACUCCUACGGGAGGCAGCAGUGGGGAAUAUUGCACAAUGGGGGAAACCCUGAUGCAGCGACGCCGCGUGAGUGAAGAAGUAUUUCGGUACGUAAAGCUCUAUCAGCAAGGAAGAAAAAAGACGGUACUUGACUAAGAAGCCCCGGCUAACCUACGUG